CAACUUUCAACAACGGAUCUCUUGGUUCUGGCAUCGAUGAAGAACGCAGCGAAAUGCGAUAAGUAGUGUGAAUUGCAGAAUUCAGUGAAUCAUCAAAUCUUUGAACGCACAUUGCGCCCUUUG
rnacentral:rRNA from 1 species